rnacentral:siRNA from 1 species
UGCUUGAGGAUGAUUGCUAGGU